GAUGAACGCUGGCGGCGUGCCUAAUACAUGCAAGUAGAACGCUGAAGGAGGAGCUUGCUCUUCUGGAUGAGUUGCGAACGGGUGAGUAACGCGUAGGUAACCUGCCUGGUAGCGGGGGAUAACUAUUGGAAACGAUAGCUAAUACCGCAUGACAACAGUUAUUGCAUGAUAACUGUUUAAAAGGGGCAACUGCUCCACUACAAGAUGGACCUGCGUUGUAUUAGCUAGUUGGUGAGGUAACGGCUCACCAAGGCGACGAUACAUAGCCGACCUGAGAGGGUGAUCGGCCACACUGGGACGGAGACACGGCCCAGACUCCUACGGGAGGCAGCAGUAGGGAAUCUUCGGCAAUGGACGGAAGUCUGACCGAGCAACGCCGCGUGAGUGAAGAAGGGUUUCGGAUCGUAAAGCUCUGUUGUAAGAGAAGAACGAGUGUGAGAGUGGAAAGUUCACACUGUGACGGUAUCUUACCAGAAAGGGACGGCUAACUACGUG
rnacentral:rRNA from 1 species